rnacentral:tRNA from 1 species
GGGGUUGUGGCUCAAUGGUAGAGCACUCGCCUAGCAUGUGUGAGGCCCUGGGUUCGAUCCUCAGCACCA